UUUUUUUUUUUUUUUUUUUUCUGACGGAGUGAGUAUCCGGGCCUUCGGCCUGACUAAUCUCACUCCGGCCCGAGGAGGAGGCCCUACUCUUCUCUCUCGGCAUAAUUUGUGAAUCUUAGAUCGUCUUAUGGUAAUUAGCCAAACUCAAGGGUAGAAAUUGAAAAUUCUGCAACGGCCUCCCCAGCCAAAGGAGCCCAACUCUUUUCGUUUAGAAGCAGCCCAAUGUCUUACAUGAAAAGAUGAAAAAGCCCAAAGCUUAAUCCAAUCUCAGCCGUCAGAUCUAGGGCGACGCUCUUUUGGCUACCUUUUAUAAACCUUUCUCUCUCCGUCUCCCCAAACCCUACUCCUUCAGCUUCUCCUUUGCAAGAACAGAGAGUACACCCUCAAACACACACCCGAGGGGGCGCAGAAAUGGCGCAGCGGCUCACUUAUCGCAAGCGGCAUAGCUAUGCCACCAAGUCCAACCAACACCGGGUCGUCAAAACCCCUGGUAAAUCUCCUCAUUUCUUGAUAGCCCACAUUACCUUUGUUUAUGCCCCGAACCUGUUUGAUUAUUUUGUUCAUGUGAAGUCUGUUAUGGUUUUUACGUGAUUUGCUAUUUGAUGUUUUGGCGCUAUAAAAUUGAUGGGUUUUGGUCUUUAUGGAUGAAAAAUAGGUGGCAAGUUAGUUUAUCAGACUACGAAGAAGAGGGCUAGUGGACCCAAAUGCCCUGUUACUGGCAAGAGGAUCCAAGGGGUAUGCUCUAUCUUCUAAUUCUGUUUCCUCAUUAAUCUUGCUUGUGGGUUUAACAUGUAAAUCUGACUUCUUUUUCGAUGCUCUAAUGAUUUUACUUGCGUGGGAUUUUUACUUUAUUUUUAUGGUUGAUUAGAUUAGUGAUUUUGGGGUUAAUGAUAUAUGGAUUUUCUGUGAUUUUUCGGUGGUUGAGGUGUUAGCAAUGGGGUCUGGGGCAUGCAACAUCAAGUUUUAUUUGCUGCAUUUAGUUUAGUUGGGUGCUUUAAGCUUUCAUGUUGUGUGAUUAGAUGUUGCAUUAUGGGUUAUAUGUUGGAGGUUUGUAGAGGAUAGAUUGUUAUCUGGGACAAUGACGGUUGACAUGUUAUUUUGCGUCAUCAUAUGAAGUUAAUAAAGCUUCAUGAGUCUUGAUAGAGCAUGUGAUUAUUUUGGAGGCUUUGUGCCACCAAAUUAUAGAUUUUAGAGUGAAAUUCACCAAGAGUGUCUGUGGUCACCUGUGGAAAAGAUGAUGAAAUGUUUGUUGCGUUCGUGAUUGUAAUUCUUAUAGGGAUCUCCUGAGUGGUUUUUCACCUCUGGCUAACUAAAAUCAUUAGUGAGGGAACCCACAUACGUGUUUUUUUUGGGGGGGGGAAGCAGCUGAAUUGGAAAAAUAACCGACUUGAACACAAAUGAAAUGAUGAAGUGAAAUUUAUUCAUGGUUGGAAGUGAAACGUGUAUAUGGAUCUCUGAUUUCUAUCAUAUUUGCGGCUGCUAUUAGAGUUCUAAAUCCUUUCUUGUCAUUUCACCUUUACAGUACUUUUUUUAUUAUAUAGUUGAAUUUAUUGGGCCACAAUACUGUAAGAAUGCUAAUACAGAGUUGAGAAGUACAUGAAUAUCAUUUGUCAGUUGUGUUAAAGAGAGAUCAAUAAGAGGGGGCUAUCAGUGAUGAAUUUUUCCAAGAAUAAGAGCUGUUACGUGUAUUUUCUAGAGGUGUUCUCAACUGAUUUUGGACUACUAGUAAAACUUGAUGGGGCGAGGGUGUUUGUAUUAGCCAAUCAAGAUGCUAAUGAUUUUUUUUGGUCCUCUUAUUGAAUCAGAAGUUGACGCUUUUCAAUAUCAUGUAUAUGGUGAUCAUCUCUAAGCAUUUUUAAAAUGAAUCACUGUAUUAGAUGUUGAUGUACAGCAUGAAGCAUUAUCAUCUUAAAUGUCCAUGGUUUUAAAUGGUUUUGAAAUUUGCAGAUUCCGCAUCUCAGACCUGCUGAAUACAAGAGGUCUAGACUAGCCAGAAACCGGAGGACUGUGAACCGUGCUUAUGGUGGGGUUUUGUCCGGUAGUGCUGUGAGGGAAAGGUUGGUAGCCCUAUAAAACUCUCCUGUUUUUAUGUUGACCGGUGAUCGGUAUUGCUCUGGUAUCUUGAUUCAUCCUGAUGUGAUGUUAUAGGAUCAUCAGGGCUUUCCUAGUGGAAGAACAAAAGAUUGUUAAGAAGGUUUUGAAGAUUCAAAAGGCGAAGGAAAAGCUAGCUGCCAAGAGCUAAGAUAAAUUAUGUAUUAAUUUUUGACCAUGCUUUGAGAGUAGUUUUUGUGAUACAGCUUGCUGCAAGGAAUCGUGGAAAUGUAUUAUGAGAUUAUUUAGCUCAAGAUUUGUGUUUUGUCAGGCUUCUUUUGUACGACUUCCAGUGGUCUACUUGUCGAAAAAGCCCAUGAUCCCUAGGAUUUUGUUUUGAUUUUAUUUCUGGAUGGAAUUUGAAACACAUUUUGGAUUCUUAAAUGUUAGUUCAGUUGUUCUCUCCACAGAUAUUUUGAAUUAUUUUUGUUUGUUUGUUUGUUUCGACAUUGAUUUGAAAUUUGCAUCGUUUAGUUGCGCGUGAAGUUUACUUGUGGCAGAACUCGUCCUGUGUUAUAUGAGGGUGCAGGAUUGAGAAAUACUUGAAUAUGGUCGGAUACAAGUGGCUUUCGUGCAUCUAAGGGCAACCUUGUGUUUACUGUUUCGUACCAUGCCAGGAUUGUUGCAGACCAUCAUACUUGACACGCAUCUAGUGAUGCUGAUGCACAGCUCCGUUGAAAGUGCGUGUUUGGUGAAUGAGCGGUAAGUAUCCAAUGGCAUGUCCGCAAUUGGUCGGUCCGAUUAUGUCAUUUGAUAAUUGAUGAUUGAUGGGGGUACUCUUGCCUCUUUUAUUGUAGUGCUUACUGCCUAACAUUGGAUUCCCCAUCUUUUUAAUACUGUGUGUGAUCGUGGACAGUAAAAAUCUGUCCUCUUUCUAUUUUUACUGUCAUCGGUUGAUUUUAUUUUCAGAGUUACCUCCGUUGACGGGUCAUUGGAUCACAGUAAUAUCUAAAAAUAUUUUAAAAUAUAUAGCAAAGUUUUUUAAAAAAUAGCUAAUCCAACGGAGGAGCGAAUUGUGACCAGCAACGGGUCACCAUCCCCCCCAAAAAAAAAACCCCCAAAUGCGUAAUAGAUGGAUGUCAGGAGGCUCGGCUGAAGAGUGGCUCCAAUGGGCUUUUGGUGGCCCAUUAUUAUUAUUGACUUCCCAAUCCUACCACUGGGCUCAAACAAACCGUACGGUAUAUCAAGGGGUUAACUCAAAGCCGAAGGAAGAAGAGGGAAAGAGGAUUGCAAAAGUUUCUACUAUAUUAUUGCAAAGUUUAGCUAUGUAGACGCAUUUUCGCAUUACUCAAGGCAACAAUAAUCUUUUCUAUCGGAAUGCGAAGUUGAAUUUGAGAAUCACUUCUCUACACAUAAACAUGGAGGCAUACAAUGCCAUGCAAACCUAUAUUUACCCACCAUACUUGCUCCUAUAUAUUUUAUUUUAUUAUCUCAAAUACGUCACAUUAUUAUUUUGCUACUAUGUUUUAUUUUAUUAUAAAAACUUCAAAAACUCCCAUCCACACACGGGCUCACACCUGCUGCAGGAAAGCUUGCAAUAAAAACAUACAUAUGUAUAGAGCUUUGGAGUGAAUUUUAAACAAGACAUAUCUUUCUGGUCCCAAGAUAUGGAGUAAUUUAGAACACAACUCUUGAUUAGUGAGGAACACGUUGCUUGCUUCCCCUCCAUCAACUUUUUUAAGACUCUAUAUGUAGCUAAUAAAUUGCUUACUCCGAAAAAAGGAAAACAUGAUGAAAAAUAAAAGCGACUAAGUACUAAAUCUUUUAGAGUAAAAUAUUGUCACUACUUGAGUUGUUCACAAACUAAAUUGGGUAAAAAUGAGUUCAUCAUUCGUAUGUGGAUUAAGUAUAACACUUGUUGGUCGAAAAAUUAGUGGACAUAUCACUACUAGGGCAAGGUGAAGAAUCCCAGAACAAGUUCGACUUCCAUGCAUCUCCCAUAUUCAACGGGAAGUUGAAGGGAUAUCCAACGGGUUGCAUCGUCCCCCAGAGUUGAUCCCUUUGUGCUACAUUGGGAUCAUUCACCAAUGCUGUCUCCUCUUGAUCAUCAUGAUUAGCAUUUCUUCUAGUAACCUGAUCAGGCACUGUGAUUGAGAAGUUGUGGAAGUACUGAUCUUGUGACACUUUAUCAUCAAAAUCGCCAAACAUGGAGGAGGACAUGUUUAGUAGCAAGGAAGAAGCGUCAAUAGUGUAUUUUAAGGGUUCAGAUGUUGGGAUUGGGAUGGUUGGAAAUGUGGUGGUCGGAGGGAGGUCACAUUUUGAAGCAGAAAUCUGAGAUGGUUCAAUGUUGCUGCUCAUUUGGUUGACGAUGGAAUUAUAGGGAGAAGUAUCUAGUGGAGAAAAAGUACUAGCAAUUGAUGAUUGUUGUAAAUCACUGUUACUAUCUCCAAACUGGAUUACUGAACUUGUUUUGGUUGUUAAUGACAUGUUACUUGAGCUGAAAUUGCUAGUACCGUAAACAUUUUGAGUUAGAAAGUCAGAUGUUGUAGUAGUAGGAGUUGUUUGAGGUACAGGAGAGAUCCAAGAAUGAGAAAGAGCCCUUUGCGCAUUUGAGUUUGCUUUCUUGAAUAUCCUGCAAAUUGCCCAUGCGUCCUGAAGAUUCCAAAUCAACCAGUAAGACAUGAGCAUCACAUUAUUGGGGAAAAAAAAUCUUAGAUACUGUGAAAUCUAGAAAAGUACGAUGUACAUUACAUUAGCUGGAAUAUUAUUCUUGUCCAUGUAUCUCUUGGAUGGUCCUGUGUCACUAAGUGAAGGUAACCUAAACUCAUGCAUCAUCCAGUCAGUCUUUAUCCCUUUUGCAGCUCUACCCUUGUAGAAAACUAGGGAUUUCUUUAGGCCAAUGCACUUGGAACCUUCAGAGGAGUAGAUAGGCCUGUCAGUGCCCGUCGCCUUCCAGAAUCCAGCUCCAGUUACUCUAUUCGGCCGUGCACUGUUUCUAUAUUUUCGGUCCCUUGGACAAUAAAAAUACCAUUCUUUUUCUCCAGUUGUUGCUAACUCUGCUCGCAAAAGAAAUUAUAAGAGCACAAACACUCGGUUAGUUCUUGUAUGAAUUCGUAGCAUAACAUUUUCAGAGGGAAAAAAAGUAAAGAACACGCAAGAUCGGCCCUCUAGGUUCUUGAAACAGAAAAAAUGUCACAGUAUAGAUCUAUAAACAAGCAACUGAAGUAUACUCAAAGUUUUCUUAUAUGAAGAAUGAAGGUCCAUAUGAAGAUAGUAGUGAAAUUUACAUACAAUAGAGAGAAGGAUAGAUGUUUCUUACUUGGAAGAUCCCAUGGAUCAUAUUUAUAGAUGUCAAGUUGCUUGAUAAGUUCAAUGGAAAGAGGUCGCUGCUGUAUCUUCCUUCUUAGAUAAAACCCUACAAGUUCUUCAUCUGUUGGAUGAAACCUGAACCCUGGCAACAUCACUUCAUCCAACUUUUCACUACUAUCAUUUCUCUCAUCCAUGCCUUUCUUCUCCUUAACGUGAAUCACAAGCUUACUCCUUAAUUUCAGUGUUCUCAAUAGGGAACUAAUAAUAAUUCCAGAUUAUCAAGCGCGAAGCUUAGAACUUAUAGAUUCUUGCAACCACAAGAAAGCAGUUAUAUGUUUCAAAACUUACAGCAGAUCUUUAAACCAAGCUAAGUAACUAACUCUUCAAUGUAAAAAUCUUUAAGAAAACUCCACUAAAUUCUCUAACAGUCAGUUGUUUGUAACUCUAGUGCCUUAGUGUGAAAUAAACACCCUACAAAAUGAAACAUAUAAGUAACUUAAAAGCUAGCAUGCAGUCCAGACGCUCCAAACAGAUAAACACAAAGAAGAGGCUGAGUUUGUAAGGCUGUUGUCUCAGUUUGAAGUCAUUAUAUGCUUCCUGAAGAAGGGUCUGCCCCCGAAGUAUCAGCCUACUUUUCUGGUGACUUUAAAGGGCUUGUUUUCUUACGAGGAUCGGUACUAUAUCUGAGAAGGAAGGAAACUUUGGCCAAGUUCAUAAUAACACCUACCAAGAAACCCUAAAGAAAAAUGGGAUCCUAGCAAUGACUCUUAUCUUACUAGCUCAUGGCCUUAUUGAAAGCUAUUGUGUUUUAUUUACUCCAAAUUGAGGAAUCUCAAGAACUACCAUAUCAGCCGUUAUGGGGAUUGGAAGUUCACUGUCAUUUUUAAUAUAUUCUAUUCGGUUGAUGAAAAUUUUAAAGUAAUUAGUACGUAUGAUGAAAAUGCAAACUUCCAAAUGUAGUGAGUUUUUUUAUUUAACUUGGUUUGAAUUGUUAUUUGGAUAUGGACCAAAAAGCAACUCCCAAAGCAGAAGCUCAAAAUUAUAUUCAGCUGCCAAAUUCCUUUGACUACUCCUCCCUCAAAGUUUAUUUCAGAGUCUUCAGUUUCUCAAGAUCCAAAAAUCCCAUUUCUAUUCCAUUCCCAGAGCUUCUAUUCCACUGACUUGUCAGAGAUUAUUGAAUAUAUCAUGUAUCUAAAUUAGACAAAUAAAUUAAGAAGAUGCUAUAGCUUGGACGUAUCUUAAAGUCCAGAGGGUAUACUAUACUAUGGUCCUAUUAGAAGGGACCAUCAAUCCUGAAAACCUUGUUCAUCAGUUAACUAUCCUUUGACCUUCAUGGGCUCCAUAUCUUUCAUUUCAGAGACCAAAUUUUGCUCAAAGAAAGUUGACUGACGACUAAGAUGUUCUAACUCUACCUUUUUGACAGUUUUGACCCUAAUUUUAUGAGCUAAUUCUUUGAAAUGUGGAUUGGUUGGAGUUUGUCCAAAAUCCUGCUUGUCAUUUUCUCUAGCAAUCUUUUCAGUCUCUUACAAUGCUAAAAAAUUUCGAAACUUUUCUCGCUUAUGACCUAGCGCGGCCUGCAUUUUCAAUGCUCCAACUAUAUUAAUUCAAGACUCCUAGAAUAGUUAAUUAUAUUAAUUCAAGACUCCUAGAAUAGUUUUCAAUCUCAGUGGCCAUCAUUUCUUAGUUUUCAUUGUUUUUCCGUACAUGUUUGUUGUAAUCCACCUCAUUCUUCCAAUCUGUUUGAUUUCUUUCCUCUCUUUUAAAAAUAUUGAGUGUAGCAUUAUUUCAUGCUUAUCAUUAAUCUUUGCCUUUGAUUGGACGGGAUUUCUAUUUCCAGAAUUUUUUUUUUUAAAAAAAGUGAGGAAUCUUUGAUUCAGGUGAAGGAGUGACAAUAAAUACAAGUACAUUAGUAAGAAAUUAAUGGUAGCCAAAAAAAAAAAAAAAAUCAAUGGCAGCGAAACAGUAUAUAUACCAAAGGGAUGGAAAAAGAUUCGAUGGUACAUAAAAAAAGUAACUUAAAUAAUCCAAACUAGCUUUUUUCUUUUCUCUUGUUAAUGUCCUGAUCUUUCUGGAUCUGAGGUCAUUUGAAAGAGCAAAAGAUUUUGAUCUUUUGGAUGGAGUAGCAGGCUGAAGGUUAGAGGCUUUCUUUUCUCUUAACCAGCCCCUUUUAUUUUCCUUAAUCUUUUGAUGUUUCAAGCUUUACAAACAUGGCAACCGUCUUAGAACAUGGCUGUUUGCAGACCAUCCCAACUCCUUUUUUUUCCACCAUUUGUACCAAUGUAGAUCAGGGAUCGAGUAAAAUAAUGGGGAAAAACGGAUAAAAAUAAUAAUAGGAGUCAUAGUUAAUAAUAUUUCUCAUUAUAAUGGGGAAAGAAAAAGAGAGAAAAAGUUGAAAUCCAGCACUUGUCUUAUAAGAAAUAUAUAUACACUCCUAACUCUUGCUCAGUGAGAGCAGCACUUCCUCAAGAAUCAGUUAAUCUUCCUUGAAGGAUGCCAUAAUCUCAAGUGAAACAGCCCGCCUCGAUCACUAUCCUUGAACCACUCAAACCCAAACAGUACAGUAUUAGAGUAUUCAUAAUUUGCAUGUAUAUAGAGCUGGAAUGGACCUGUGAGGGAAUUUAUAGAAUUCAGAAGUGGAGUGGUUGAUUUUUUUGCCUUUUGGCUCAUGGGUUGACGGCAAGGAGUCAAUUUCCUUCGAUUUUGGGGCUAUUGGAGAAAACCCACAGCUUGGAUUUCCACAAUUUCUUGCUUCUAGAAAUGCAAAGAAAAUAAUGCAAACUUCACAUUAUGGGCUACUGUACGAGUUUUGAAUCUAUCUUGUAAAAUUCCUCAAAGUUUCCAUAUUUAAAUCAAUUUCUCGCACUAAAGUUUGCUCACCUUGUCUUCAGAGUGGAUGGCAAAUAGAGUACCAACUAUUAAAUGGGGAUGAUGUUCGCAGAGUCAAAUGCCAAACUUGGAGUUAGAGACUUCAAAUUUAGUGAAAAUGAACCCUCACACCCAACCCACAAUCCAAGCCCCUCGUUUGAAACCCCUUUUUGUCUGUCUUUGACCUUGGGUUUGCUUCCCAAACGUGCAACCAUUUUAAAUAGAAUGUGUCGAACUCUUCAAAUUCAGGCAUCCCAGGCUUUAUUUACACAACUACUCAAUUUUGGUCCAGUGGUCAUAGAAAAAGGCCUCUUUAAACUAUAAAUCGAAAGUUCGAACCUUAUCUGUAAUAAAAAAAAACACUUCUUUAAUUAUAUAAAAAAAAAAAGCACUUCUUUAAUUUAGUUAUGUCUGUAUGUUGUGGAAAGAAAAAAGACCUUAUUUACACCAUUUAGCUCAUGUACAUUAUUCAUAGCCACUUCACCCUACCAAGUCCAGUUUUCUAUUGAUGGAUCAUAAACAGUAUGAGAACAAUUCUAAUAGAUUUUUCAGAUUUGGAGCGUUUAGCAUGAAAUACUAAUAAUUACUACGUGAAAUAUCCCUACUAUUGCGUGAUAAAAGUGCCAUAGAUUAUACCGUCCGUGAACUCAACUGAAGGUCAUGAGCACUGACUUUGUGGUUAUUUUGACAAUUCUUUCUUUUACCAAAAGCCUUCAGAAGAACUAUGCCCAACUCCUUUUUUUUUUUUUUUUUUGGGAGAAUAACUAAACCCAGCUUAGGCACAACGAAAGAAGAAUUAUACCCAUUCAUACCCGUUCUUCUCUUAAAGAAAGAAAAAAGAUAGAACUGGAACCCAACAAAAUUGCUCAUUGUUUUUUGCUACAGCUAGUUUAUGAUAACAGAGAAAAUGAUCAAAGGAAAAACCGAAUCAUAAAUUGUAGUCCACAAAGAUAAAAUGUUGGAUAACAUAACCGUACACUAACCGUACACUAUAUAAUCAUUUCUCAGUACAUGCAAAUCCUUCAUGUCACAACCAUGGUUCAAAGUCGCGGUCGCGGCCUGGACCGUUUCACAUCGGUCUCGACAUAUCAGUCGCAGUUUCGGUGAGACGCGAAUUUUUGAAAUAUUUAAUAUUCUAAAAAUUGUAAAAAAUAUAAUAAUUAAAAAUAAUUAAAAAAUUAGUAAAAAUAAUAAAAAUUCGAGUUGAUUCGGGAUGACUCGGAGUAACUCGACCGUUUCAACCCUUCACCGUGACGUCUUGACGAGUCGCGUAUCUCGAUAUCGUUUCCUUGUGAUCUCGUCUCGGACUGACGACUAGGUCGAGUCGUCUUGGUCUCUACCGAGUCUUCGAACCACGGUCACAACCAGAACAUAUUCAAUAGUUUACAAUUAAAGAAAAAUGGCUUCCCUAUUCACUUUUCAUAUUUUCUGAGUGUUUUCCUCUUGUUGCAAACCCCUUGGCAAAUCCCAGCUAAGGCAUGAAAACCCUAGCCUGGAACGAGAAAUUCUCAAAAACUUACGUUUACCCUGUUGUCUUAGAAUUUUCACAACGCAGGUUUGCGGUGCCUGCUGUUGGUAGCCUGCAUUUUUUUCUCUCUUCAUUUUUUUGGGGUCCCUUUUUCGUUCUCUUUGAAAGCACUGUUCAUGGACACGGUAAAUCUUGCCUAAGCCUAUGUCCUAACGAGAAAAUUUUUAAAGAGAAUACCUUUCUUUACAAAUAAAACAUCAAAAGUUUAGAGGUAACAAAAGAUCUGCUUGAGCAAUUCUUUGAAUACAUAAUAGCUAUAGACUGCUUAUGGCACAAUAAUCAACUUUACAUUCAUGCCCAGGCAUUCAAUGAUCAUUUCCUGUAAUCGUACAAACAAUUACAAGUAAUCAUGUCAAAUAACAAAAACUGCCUUUUCCAACUUGCACAUAUCUCGUUGUUGACAGAAUAACUGAAUCAUCAAGAUGCUUGUAUCAUCUCUCUGAUGUCAUAUCCUUGAAGCUACAGAAAAAUUAGCCAGGGUUAACCUUUCAUCACAUAUUUUUCUGAUUAAAAAAAUAAAAAAAGGGCAAUAAUCGUCAAGGAAAAACAAAAGGCAAGAACAACAGUAUGAUAUUAGAUGUGCCCUCUUAAAGAUUAACACAAGAAGUAGAUAACUGAUCGUGGGAUUGGCUAAUGAAGCUUCUUUACAAGCAGAGCAUAUGUCUUUACCAUAUUCUAGGAUGGUAGCAGAGAUUUAGACAAAAAUCCCAACAGUAUGACACAAAACAUGUAAUAGUAGAAGCACAACAUGGAAUUUGCAACGAUACACGGUUUUCAAGGUCGAACUCUACCAAAACACGCAAAAUAACGUACACAAACAAAAAUACCUCACAAGAUAUAUCACCUCAUUCAGAUACAAAUGCAAAAGUAGAUUCAAAUAACAAGCUUUGGAAUGUUAUUUACCUCAAGGAAGGUGAGCAGUAAGAUAACUCCAGAGUUCCAAAGAGCAUGAAUUGUUAUAGGUGUUAGAAGGUUGCGUGUUUGAGCAUAAGAUAAUCCCAAAGCAAUACCUACAUAUAUAGUCUCUGUUAGUCCAAAUCCAGAAUGGAAUGGCUAUGCAGCAAUGCAAACUCUAGUCCAGUGUUUUCAACCAAAAGUAGACUCUUCCUUUUCAUUUAUUUUGUAUUUCUGAGUUUAAUAAACUUGUUAGUUCAUUUCACAUCAGAAGGUCCAACAGUUCUAUUAUCUCCAUGAAGCAAUUCAAGGAAAAACUGAGAAAACAUUAACAAGAGAUGGGAGGAUUUAGCACUGAUAUCGCCUUUGUGCACUUUCCCAACAAUUGCAAUUUUCAUUGCCAACAGAUACACAUUUUCAACGUUUAAAAGGUAGGGUUCUGAUAAGACUCCAUCAAAGUUUCCAUGAUUUCCAGGUCGAUUAUUUUGUGCUCUGCACACAGAAGCCUUUCUUCCCAUUUUAGUUAGUUUUUCUUUUAGUAAUUAUAUUGGGGAUGAAAGGGGGAGGUUUUCCUACUCUUCAAUCCAUAGUUUAUUGUCUAUAAGCAGUGUACCAAGUACAAACAGCUGAGGAAAUUCUCCAGGGGUGAGAUGUGCAAUUGCAAAUACAGCAGCACUAACAACGAUGGAAAGUGGUGUAGGCAACCUGCACGGAAAUGCAACAAAGCAUGAGGGUGGAUUUUGACACUUCGAUGCAUGGACUAGAAAAGUUCUUAUUUAAGCAUGGACUUAUCAUUAGGUUUAGUCCCCAAGCACUUGAAUCAAUUUAGCGACAACCCAUUUUUACGAGGGAAAAGUUGAAGUAGGCAUACCAUUUGGUCAGAGCCACCAUGAAAAACCCUCUAAAAACAGUCUCCUCAAGAAGUGGAGCAAGGAUACCGGUGAUUCCCACAAGGCAAGCAGUGCUGCAUUUUAAACAAAGAACUCUUUCAUUUGCACCUUUGAUCUUGCGAAAUAAUCACAUCUAAAAAGUGCAAAGUCCACAUACAAGAAUCCUCUUGGUAAAAUCUUAAAGAUGCAGCAGUAAAUCUUUUUCCUGGAAGUACCUGAUACUUGAGGAUCCAAUCAACGGAAGCAAGCGAACAAGAGCGUCGGUCUGACAAUAAAAAACGGGUGGGAUGAGAGAGAUGAACGGAGUAGAUAAAAAUUAAUCACAGGUUGACUAGUGGUCUAGAUGAAAUUCCUGAUUAGCAAUAAAAAGAAAUUAUUCUCUCAAAAUGGAAAGGUUUAUAUGACAUGAAUGGUCAAGUAAAAGAGGAACACACACAGAAUGCCUAUGUUGCUUUACUACAAAUUCUAGAAAAUUUUCCAAGUGGCCUGCUGUGUGAGACAUAGAAAAAAAUUUUACAAGGUAGCCCACUCAAAAUCAUCACCUACUUGCUCAACACAUAUCAAUAAUAUCUGCGGAAAACAAUUUUAGGCAGUGGUUCUUAAUGGGCAGAAUAGAGCAUGUGCUUCUCAUGAAUGGAAUUUACUCCUUGCUAACAUAUGAACCACCUAAUAAACAAGUUCACAUCAUAAAAGAAAAACUUAUAAGUUGCAUUCAAUGUACCUCAAAAGGUCCUUUUUCCCCUUUUCUGAUUUAUCCUUUUUUUCUCUUUUUUUUUUCAGCCUCUCUUUUUAAUCUAUGUUCUCAGGUAAUGGCAAAAAGGAGGAUACAAGUCCAAAUAAUAUUAUUUCCCUGGAAAUUUUGCAUUUUUAGUUGUAUUCAUGUAUAAACUAAUCAGCAAAACUGAAAAACAGUGCAAGUUGGAAUCUCACCUCUCUUUGCGGGGUCUCACCACUAAAGAAGGAUACUGCAACACCCGUUAGUGCAAUGGCAACAAGAGCUCCAGCAAGACCAAUACCCGCCCAUACUAUCCACCCUUUCUGAAGAUUGAAAGGUUCUCUAAUAUCUGAAAAAGAGUCCAACAUAUCAUACAUUUUCAUCAAUUUUAGAACUCAUUGCAAGAACAAACUCCACCAAGAUGUGCUUAACUGCUGGACUUCAAGAACAGCAAAAAGCAAACACAUAUUAAAUGCAAUUUCUACCCAUGCAAAGAAACCUGCCAUUCAUAUUACAAAGACCGGAGACGCUUUUUUAUUCAAGAGUGAUAUAUAAGUACUUUCAACAUUAAAGAUAGCUGUAAAAUUUCCAAGAGAAUUCUUAAAAAAAAAAUUCUCAUGCAGAAAGAUAUACUUCAUAAAGUAAGCAUUACCAUAACGAAAUACAUCCUCGGGAAGUGGUCCAAAUGAGCUGGUAAUUCCAUAAAGCACUGCAAGCACAGCUGCAGUGGUAAUGCUACAAACACGACAAAUUAGCGGAUUAAACUAAAAUGAACACCUCAAGUAUGAAAUAAUUGCAUUUAUUACUGGCACAGAAAUACAUACGCUUGGUCAAGGAACAAUAUUUCUGCCUUCUCAUCUAAACUCAAUUCUCUGAUUUGGACUCCCAAAUAUGGUAUUGCUGCUGUUUCAAUUAGUCCUGUCAAAACAAAACUGCCUAAGAAAAAAUCAGUAAUCUUCAAACAUCAGUGACUAAUCAUGAGCAGCUCCACCAAGAGAAAAAUAGAACAUCCAAGGACAUGGCCUUCUCAUUUGUAUGCAAUGUUACGCCAAGAAAUAAUUGCAGCAUUGCCUCUAAUGAUAAUCAAGCACAUUGGGGAAAAAUGAAAGUUAAAAACCCAAACAAGAAUCUAUUCAAUUCUAGUCUUAAAGGUAUAACUCGGCAGGAGGAAUUAUUAAACAAAAAUUUAAACAUUACAAAACUCAAGUUCAGCAUAAUAAUAGUAAUAAACAUUCAAAAGGCACCUCAAUCCGCAAGCCAGUGAGGUCAAAGAAACUGUCUGCCAUUUCCAAGGCACAUCCCACCGCCUUAGUAUUGGCCAGUCCAAUCCAUCUCCCUGAAGACCAUUAUGCACAUCACCUCAAUCUUUUAGAAGCCCAUUAUGCAUAUCAUCUAUCAAAACCUUUUCUACGUUGUUACAGAAAAUGUUAAUUUCUAAUCUAGAUCGUUACGCUAGUUUUUUAAAAUAUGGUAGUCCAGUAAUCAAGGGCCUUUCUCCCUGAACAGGAUUUGAUUUUCAAAUUCCCCACCCGUCUUCACAUCUCUUACUUUGAAAAGUGUAAAAGGAAGGGAAAAAAAUAGUAGAGAACUGAAGCGUAAAACUUAUUGCUGGAUUGUUCGAAGAAACAAAUCCAGUCAGAAUUCAUACACCUACAUCUAACUUUCUCAAAUUAUCCUAAAAUUCCCAAGUAUAGGGUUCCAAAAUGCCGAAAAACACACUACAGAAGACCAAAAUACCCAAAUAAAAGUCUAAUCUUUUUUACUACAAGAGAUUGGCAGCAAUGUUAAAAGUAAAACCCACCAUUUAGUUACCGAGAAAACAAAAAUUCAAUCAGCAGUGCAACUAUUCUUUAGUCAUCAAGUCAGUAAAGCAAUCUUACUUUCUGCUCUGAUUCUUUACCGGAGUAAAAGCAGAUGCAACGUCGACGUGAACGGUGAACAGGGCUUGAAGUUGAAGGGGCCCUGAAACUGAGCGAACUGGGCAGUUGGUUCAAUUGGCGAAGAGUAUAAGAACCAGCAAGACUGCGAACAUGAUCACCGGAAAAAGGGAGAGGUGGGUGUUUAGAUGAAUCAUGAUUACUACUUCCAUUGCAGAGUUUUAAGGGAAGAGAUAGCACAAAUAGGGAGGAAGUGGAGGACAUUUUCAGCAGCUUUGCAAGUUUCAGUCUUUGGACGGAUGGGAAGGUUCAAUCGAGCAGCUGAAUCAGAAUUUGAUGAAUUCUUCCCCAGCUGAGUUGACUCUCGAGUGGCUAAUUCUUGGAACCGAGGAUAAGCAUAGCUUAGGCAUUUCAGACCUUAUUCUGUUAUUUUUCUUUUCUUUUGUAAUCAAUAAAAAUUGAUUGCAACUUACAAGCACCUGAUCGAAACCCCUGAAGCCCACCUAGUGCCAGGCCGAUGACGAUGGACUUCUUAUUACUCCAGCCCAAUGCAAAUGGACCAGAAUUGUACUGGGUUCAAGCAGAUUCUCACUUCUUAUUUUCGGGAAUAUGGACUUCUUGUUACUCCAAUAGUGAUGGAGCAGAAUUGUACUCGAUUCAAGCAGAUUUUCAGAUUUUGUUUUGGGAACUAUAACCGUAUUAUAUGCCGUAACUAUAGAGUAAAUAUUUGUGGUUAAAUUUUGUAAAAGCUAAUUGUGAAAAGUGACCAUUAGGAGUGUAAACAAGUCUAACCAAGCUGAACAUUACAGUGUUCGAGUUUGUUUGAUUAUUUUAACGAGUUUGAAAUUUUGGUCAACUUAUCUAUUUGUCUAACCAUAUUUGAACGAAUUUGUUAUAAGUUUGAAUGCUACUGAACAUAAAACGCUGUUCAAAGUUAACUUCACUAGUUAAUGAACCAAAUUUUAAUGAAUUCUUACCAAACCAAACCCGAUUCGAGUAUCGAAUAAUUUGGUCCAUCUUUCAAUCAUAGCAAUUAUAAAAGUAUGUUCUAGAUUUUGGCUUUUUUUACACUAUUAAAAAAAAUUUCAAAUCUAAAUGAGUGUAUAUCAAAAAAAAAAAAAAAAAAAGCUUACAUCCAAAAAAAAUUAGAAUUUAAAAUCGUGUAAUAUAAAUAAACAAGUACAACCCGCAUGGACCAAAGGCCUGGCCUCUCUACACGAAAAUAUAAAUAUAUAUAUAUAUAUAGACACACAUAAAUAAAUAUUAAUGCAAUGUGAUAGGGAGAUCACUCUUAAUCGUCUUCAGAUGGUUUUAUAUUGCACACUAAUGCUGAAUCUAAAUACUACUAAAGAAGCUACACGAGUGACAAGUAGGUGAAGUAAGGCGUGAACUUCUAACCUAUCGCCCAUAAUAAGGCACGCAAGUGCCGUAUGGUAGGCAAAUCACCUGACGCUUUAAUCUCCUAUUAGUGUCUCUUAAGGCGCACUUACAUUUCUGGUUAGCCCCCAUUAAUAUCUCCCAAUCGAAUCGUUACAAAUUAGUAGAAUUCGGACGAUUUUUAUCCCACCAUAAAAAACACUUGGCUAAUUCAGAUUUCGAGAAUAUGAACUUAAUCUCAGGGUGGACAAAUGAUACACUACUAGUUGAAAAGGGUUUAGUACUUGGAGAAAACUACAUGCCCAACAGCUUCAAGACGAGUGCAUGAAGGUUCAGAAAUUUGAACUAUGCCUGGAUGGAUGGAUGGCGGCCGACUUGAUACCGGAUACACACGUUUUAAAUAAAAUAAUAAUGAUGAUGACGAAAUUUGAGAGAAGGUAUCGAUUCUUAGACCCAUAUAUUAUUAUUAUCUGCCGACGACGGGGAAAAGCGUUGCAAAAUUGAGUUGAAUGCGAGGCUUGGUAGGUAGGUUGACCAAAUUAAAACGCGUUCAGGAAUAAUUGCAAAUGAAUUCCGUCCAGUUUAAGUAAGGCCGUACGUGGGAACGGUCUCCCUCUUGCCUACUCAAUUACUCCCUCCGUCCCACUUUGAUAGUCUUAUUUUCUUUUUUCAUCUGUCUCAAAUUGUAGUUCACUUUCCCAUUAAAAAAUGUAGUAAUCUUUCAAAUUGUCUAAAAUACCCUUAUUAAAUAUCUUGUUAUUAAUACAUUGUUAUUAACUACUAACCCACUACAUUGAAUACAUUGAGUUUUUCCAAUACUAACCCAUUAGCUGUAACUGAUAUUAAUUGGCACUCUUCGUGAUUAGCAUAAGGGUAUUUUAGGAAAUUAUUAAUCUAAAUUUAUGUUUCCAACCAAAUUAAUUACACUUUCUUAAUCUGUGUGAAAAAAAAAAUCAAGACUAACAAAACGGGACGGAGGGAGUAUUUGACAAGGAAAAAGAAAAAAAGAAAAGUCCCAUUAGGAUUUAAUGAAGUGGGAGCUUUCAAAUUAUAUAUAUAUAUAUAUGUGUCAUUCCAGUUCUGUACUAUAUGAAAAGCAAUAAUAGGGAUAUUUUAUCUUGCUACUUGAAGCAUUGUCUUGUUAAUUAGGUGAUGAUGAAGUUUUUGGCUCAACUCUCGAGCAUUUUGCCUUCCAAGAUUUAGUCCCUCCCAUUUAAAACAAAAAAACAAAAACAAAAACAAAAAAGGCAUCCUUAGGAGUACGCUAUUGUGAUGUGGAAGCAUUUCCAAAUUGUAAUGCACACGAAAUAGUAAUAUAAUAUACAUUGCUCCGGAUACUUUAAAAUAAAGAAGGUAGAAGAAGUGGGGUACUAGCUAGGUACACAGCGUCGGUGGGACAGAUAUACAUGUACCAUUUUCUUGUGGUGAUGAAUUAUGAUUGAGCAUUUCAUAAAUAUCAAAAGCAAGAGAAAAUAGUACUUAUUAUUACAUAUAUACUAAAAUAUAUAACAGGGUCACGGCCUUACUAGGGCGGAAGCCACGUGACCUGAUUGCUUUCCAGUUUCGAACAGAAUGGGUGGGGGUUUGGGUACGACUUUUCAUUAAACUGGCUUGUUCCUUUCUUUGUCCAAAUUAAUGCAUGUGCAUGCAUGUUCAGGAAAUCAUGCCACUUGCCGAAUAAUAACAAGUUUACUAUAGUAGUAGUAGUUAAUUCGACAACCCUAGUUGUCUGCAAUUAUCAUAUUUGUAUGAUAAACUUCCUUGUAGACUUUUUUUUUUUCUUUUGGGUAAAAUAUAAAAAGGCUUCUUGAGGUUAAACGAACGUAUAGAACCCCCCCCCCCCCAAACCACGCAAUAGUUUCAAACAUAGCUCCAAUAUCUCAUGGUUUGAAUUAAUUUUUUUAAAUAAAAAAUAGCAACAAUCGUUUGAAUUAACGGAUUUAAAAUGCACGCACUUCUUUUGCAAGUAUUUGUAUUAUAAACAAACAAAAUUUCAAUUGAUAUACCUAUUAUACCCUUAGAAUUAUGACACAAAAAAACCCCAUGUGAUUAAAAAAACCUACAAAAAAGUCCCUUAUAAUUUCAAAUUAUACAAUCUAGUAUCUCGUGAUUUGAACUAAUGUGAAAAUCAACAAAAAUCAUUUAAAUUAACAACUUUGAGGGGUCAGUCCAACAUUUGAUACUUCAUUCUUUACUUAGUUGCUCAUCUUUUGCUUCCUUAGAAGAAGCUCAAGUGUGGGAUAGGAGGAUUAUUGUCAUUUUCCAUGUAGAAAAGGAGUUGUAGCUUUCAUGGAUAAGACGAUUUGUUAGAUCAAUUUGAUUUGGCUAGAUAAUAGUAGGAAACAUGCGGUGUUAUUGGUAGUAGAAGUUGAAUAGGAAACAAAAAGAGAGAAAAAGCCGGAUUCCCGUUUGAUUAGGAGUUGGCCAGCAACAAUUUCGGGAUGAAUUCUUUUGGAGUAUCAGGCCGUCACUUGUCUUUCGACUAGGUCUUCUUUCAUUAGUCUUUAGGGAAAAACCAAUUGUAAUCAAUGGAGUCCUACGGAUUCUCCUUGAAGAUGCGUAGCUAAAUCUCCAUAUUCUUGUUGAAGGUCAACUUGAGAAUUCGGUUCCAAACAUCUGUGAGAUCGAAUUAUUUUAUUUAUUUAUUAUAUUCAUUGGUAUCCGUACGUUUUCUGGUUUAGCUUCUUACAAUUAUUUUGUUGUUUGAAUGUCAAGGUCUCGAUAUUCGAAUUAACCUAAUAAUUUACUGCCAGAUUAAUUGAUUGAAUCCGUAAUUAUUUAAUCGAUUAAUACUAGUGGCGACUAGUGUGAUUAGUCUCAUAUUAGGAAAACGUAUGAUCUAAUUUAAAUAAACCCUCGUAGUGUGCUUGUUGGUUAGAGUUGGGCUUUUCUAAUUCUUAAUGCAAUUGAGAAAUUGAAUCCUACGGCCGUACCUAGAGUUAUUUUUUAGUUUGGAAAAUAGUUAACAGUCGUACCUUGACUAUCGAAAAAGUAAGGAAAAAUGGGUUGUUUAUCGCGUGUAUGACAACUAUAACCAAUCUAUUAAUGAGUAAUUGAAUUAUCAUUGUAUCGAUGAUCAGUUGAAUGGAUUGUGUCUGAAAAGUUGCACCUUUGACUAGAGUUAUACACUUGUACUUAUUAUCGAUUAAUUCUAUUAAUUUCUGUUAGUUGUUUUAUUAGUCUGUUAAUUAGUUAUUUUAUAUUUUCCAAAAAUUCCCCAUGCUGUGAACUCUAGAAUAAACGAAUUUUCCCUAAUUCCUGUGAAUUCGACCUUGCUCACCGCAAUAUACAAAUUUGUAUUUUUCUUAAGUAGGUAAUUAUUAUUUCACAGACUCGACACCUGUCACAUGUUGAUUCAGAAAGUAGGCUAUCUAUGUUAAAAUUGAUUUUGAAAUCUAUUUACCAAAUACACCCAAAUAUGCAUUCAAUGUUAUGUGCCACACUAGUAAUAUUAAUAAAUAAAAGUACGUAAUUUUGCAUGGGACAGUAAAGUGAAAAAACAUAGUGGACAAAGGAUCCUUUCUCCUCAAAUACUCUCAUUUUUAAAACAAAUCUAUUUUUGAGAAUUAUUUUAAGAAAUUAGUCGGAUAUCACGGGAGUUUGUUUCUCUGUGCCCAUAAAAUAAGCUUUUUCUCACAUGGAUAUCUUAAGUUUUCUUUUCUAGUGCCCAUAGAGUAAGCUUUUUUCUCAUUGCAACAUCCACUACUACUCAUCCAUCUACAUCGUCAUUUUCCUAUUGUUGAUCAUCAAAUAAGUCCUUAGGUGGGGUCGUAAACAACCAUAUUAGGGAAAAGUUCCAAGAAGUCUUCUUUUAUUUUUUCCCUCAAUUUUGGAUAUGGGAGGAGCCCCUUCAAGAUCAGUCUAUAAAGCAAUGAUAGCGGGGGAUUAGGAGAUAACCUCAUUUCCUCGUAUAUGUCCAUUGCUUCCUUCGGUAGUCCACAGUCUAAGAAGGCCCUAAUGAGGUCACCAAAGGUAUGCUGAUCAAAAAACACGCCUUCCCUCUUUAAGUCAUCCCAUACACUCACGGCUUUGUCUACCAUUUUAUUUCUCACUAGCAUCAUUAGCAUAUCCCUGUAGAAGAACAUAUCUGGCCUAUACCAAAUUUCUUUACGGACCACCUCGUACAACUAAAAAAUAAAAGACAAAUGUCAAAAAAAGGAAAAACGUUACAGUUUAAUUACUGAUCCAUCUAUCAGCAGUAAAAGUUUGUACGAGCCUUAGAAUACAAGGUGUACGCUACAAUUAGAGAGUGGGUAGGUAUGACGAUGACAUUUACAAUAACUUGUUAAUCUAAAGUUUUGAACCAAAAGAAUAACAAAACUCAAAGACAAACACCAUGACCAGAAUUUACUCGCAUAAGCACCAUAGGAGUACAAUGCAAAUCAGUUUCUUUUCAAUGAAUUUCAUGAUAUUGGUAUCUAAGUUCUAGCUCAUUCACAUUUUUUACAGCAAAUGGCUAUAGUAGUAUAAUCUAGAGUUUUGAACCAAAAGAAUAACAAAAAUCAAAGGCAAACACCAAGUCCAAAUUUACUCGCAUAAGCACCAUAGGAGUACAAUGCAAAUUAGUUUCUUUUUAAUGAAUGUCAUAUAUUAGUAUCUAAAUUCUAGCUCAUGCGAAUUUCUGACAACAAAUGGGCAUAGCAGUAUUCUGGUUUAUAAAAGAGACACAACCUUUACUUGUUUUCUCUAUACUUGAAUGCAGAAGUCCAAAGAACUAAUUUCAUGGUUACAUUUAUAUGUGUAUGUCAGCUAGAGCUGCAAACACGGAAUAUUUCAGUUGUUCAAACCUAUUUGUAACUAAUGUGCAUGUGUAAAAUUGUGGAUGUGUAAAUUUGUUCUAGGCCUAAUACCAUAGCCAUUUGCAGAUCCUUUGUGCUAAAAAGAAUGGGUGAAGUUAAGAGCUUGGAUAAUCUAUUUCUCUUUCUUAAUUUCAGUAGAUGAGUAUGGUGAUUUGUCACUGAAAGAACCCUUUUUAGUGGCAGAUCUGCAAAGCUAAUGUCUAAAAUCCCGUUCAUUUUAUAUGUAUCCACAAUGGCCUAGACUUGAGUAGACCCAGAUUGUUCAAAGAUCCAAUGACCCAGAUUGUGUCACACUAUCUCAUAUAAUGAUGUGGCACAAUCUGGACCAUUGGAUCUUUGAAGACAGGUCCACCGUCUGAGCCAUGGUGUUAUCACUCCAACAAUAUUGUCAAUGGUCAAAGAAAAUUAUGAUUACGUACUCCAACCAUCUACCCUGGUUGGCUCUUACAAUUGUCUGAAAUCAUAAAGGUGUUUGCAACAAACUUCAAAUAUAGCUUAAUUGGUGACUAAAACUAAAAAACUAAAUAGUUUACUCUUCAGCUCCUAACAAUCUACUGAGGUAGCAUUCUCAACAAAAAGUUUCCGGUAUAUUAUGCAAUGAAGUGUAAUGAUUAGCUGUAGAGAGACCAAUAAAGUGCAAGGAGAACAUGACUUCAAAAUGCACCAAUUUACAUUGGGUACUCUAUCACAUUAAGCCAGAAACUCUACCAAAUGCUGAUUUGUUUUAUAAAAUUUUCAAAAACAACCCAAAACUCUUAAAUACAACUCACCUUAUUUCUAUACAUAAAAUAAAUAAACAAAAACUUUCAAAUACAACUUACCUUAUUCCUAUAUACAAAAUAAGUAAAUAAAAGCAAUAUGUAACCAUAGGAGGUUUUUUCGUAGGUUGACUUAACCACAAGAAGUUUUUCCGUAAGUUUUGCUUAAUAGGAUGGUCGUUAAAAGGUCUUUUAGUACUUAUAUAUAUUAGGGUAAGUGUGUCAUUUCAUCCACGUCUAUUAGUUUUGAUGAUUUCUGUUGCUGUUUCAAAUUAGUUCAAAUAAUGAAGAAUCGAAAUGUUGAUUUGAAAUCAUAAAGGACAUUUUGGUAAAUUAGGUUUUUUGUAUUUUACUUUUUUUUGGAUACCUUGUUGAUUCUUUUACGAGACCAGAAGUUGUUAGUUAUGUCGGUCCUUUCCAUUCUUGUUCACUCCGUGUACCCAUAUCAUAUACUAGUAAUGUUUACUAAAUUUCUUUGGCUGUUCAUCUACUUCUCUUCUGAACAACUUUUUAUCAAGCUGGUAUUUCAUGUUGUACGAUAACACAGAUAAAAGUCAAUCAGACAUUGAGAUGAUGGUGAAAGCUACUCCAUCUUCCAGUAACCUUCUCUCUUCUCCCCAAAAUGGAAAGAAAUUGAAAAACAGGAGGAAAGAAUUUUGGUUGAAAUGACAAUAGCAGAAGCAAUAUGAUACUAUUAAAGAAAUCCAUUUGUUUGUGUUUUUUUGGACUUAAAACAAGUUUAGAAAGAAGACCCUGCUUCUAAGUAGAGAGUUUAGCAUGUUUAUUUUCCAAGAAGAAAAAGUAACAAAGAGAAAAAGAUUGAUCGUAUUUCGAAUGUAUCCUGAGCAAACUUAUCCUAAACACAUGAAUAAUGAUGACUUAACUAGCUGGAUGUAUAACGUAAGGUUAUGGAGCUAAUCAAGACUAUGAAUUUCUUCUAUGUAUAUGUAUAUAUAUAUAUAUAUAUAUAUAUGUAUGCUUUCAACAUCACAACUAGGGUUGCAAAUGAGUCGAGUCGAGUCGAGUCGAGUUUUAAUCUAAUCGAGCCGAGUUUUGAAUUAAUUUUAGUGAACUCGAACUCGAGGAACCGAAAGUUUAAAGUUUGAGCUUGAAAAAAAUAAAAAAAAUAAUUAUUUUAUUUUUUAAAAAUCAAUAAAUAAUAUUAUAUAUAUAUAUAUAUAUAUAUAUAUAUAUAUAUAUAUAUAUAUAUAUAUACCCCACUCGUGAGUGAACGAGCUUAAUAUCUUGAGGUCGAGUUCGAGAUCGAUUUCGACUCAAACCAACUCGAAUUCGAGUUUGAGCUCGAUAUGAUCGAACUUGAGUCAAACUUGACUCGAGCGACUCGAUUCGUUUACGGCCCUAAUCACAACACAUAUAUUCUACUUGUAGAUGCUCUCGGCCCCACACCGCAUCAAUAUCCUAUAAUAUUCAGAAUGUAUACUACCCCAGUAUUUAUAUAUAUCCACCGCUGAGCUGCAGACUGUUUCCCCAUGUCAAAGGCUUAAUCAACUCUGGGCCCCAUCUCCAUGGCCUUGAGGUUGAAGAGGUGAAUGAAGGGACGAGGAGUAGUGGUGCUUUACAACUUUAUUCGCGUGUGGCUCCCAUUUGCCUUCCCACAGAUUUCUGGCCCUAUUGGAAUUGGUCUGAUUUAGACUACUAUAAUAGUUUAUGGUUGCUAUGAUGCCGGUCAUGGGUGUCCAGCCGGUGUUCCAAUACCAGACCAAUUGCAUUCUUCCACCUCACCUAGAACUACAAGGGUUCUAAACUGGUUUCAAUUACGCCGCAAGGGAUUUGUUUAGUUAAUCAGAUUAGAAUUUCUCUAUUCCAAUCCGAUUAAGUACUUAAAAAUAUCAAUCAAGCACAAAUAUGUCCUUUAAUAUACACAAUUUUAUUUUGAUGUAAGAACAAAGAAUUUCUUUGCAAAAAAAAAAAAUCAUAUUCUGUUAGUUUAAAUAAUGAAUUUUUUUUUAAAGAGUCAUAUUUCGAAAACUUGUCGCAUAUAUUUUGUAGCCCAUGACGCUAGGGCACCAUCUCAUUGGCUUGGCCUUUGUAGACCUAAAGUGUACGGGACUCCAAAAUAUAGAAAGCCCGUAACAUUUGGUUAGAUCAGUGCUAGCACUACUAUUAUUAACUUGAAAACAUGAGAGCGCUCGAGAUUUGCUUUUGUCGUACGAUAUUUUAGUGUGUGUCUGUGUGAGAGAGAUUGACGUGUGCUUUGAUGAUCUACAAGUCCGCGUAUCUAUUAUAUUAGAGCAUUCAUUCACUUGCUAUAUUUGCACCACUAGCAUUGAUUCAAACGCAGGUUUCCCUUCAACAUUGAAUCUUUGAGCUUUGGGACAGCCUUCCUGGAAAUCAGAACCCACAUGUUUUGCUGGAAUUCAGCAUCUUCUGUUGUGCCCUUGUAAUCUUCAUUGUUGAUAAUCAGAGAGAGAGAGGAUUCGGAUCGUUGAGAAAGCUGCGAUUUUGAUGUGAUUGGUAAUUUUUUUGAGACCCUUUUAGCUGAUCUAUCAUCCCUUCUGGAUUCAGCGUAUUUAAAUACGAGUUCAAUUCAGAAAGAUGCAAAAAAAAGUUGUGUUUUUUUUUUUAUUUUUAAUAUUUAGAAUCUUGGUUUGGUAUUGACAAUCUGAAUUUUGGUGGCUUUAUGGUGAGUUUUUUUUCUUCUUUCUUCAUUUGAUGAGUGUAGAUUUAAGUUGAACAUAAAGCAUCCAUAAAGCAUCCAGAGAUGCUUUGAUUUUUAGUUGAUGUAAUGUUGGUUGUUUGGAUUGAGAAGCUUUAAUUUCGGUAGCUGUCGUGGACCUAUUCUUAUGGUAAUAGUUGAUUUUGUACACUGCAAGUGGCUUUCCAAGUGGUUGAAUUGGGUGUAUGCUCAGUUUUGGGAAAUGUUGUUGGGCCCUUUAAUGUUUUUCUAGAAAGAGAUUUUCUGAAGUGGAUUCAUGGGAUGUUUUGUGAUCCUAGUAAUUAGGUGGCGUGUGAGAAUACUAUUAUGCUGUUUCUCCUUUUUUGUUUUGUUUCUCUUUCUUGGUAAAUUCCUAAUCUUUUAUUCAUUAAGAAGAGAAUGUACACUACAGAAGGGAUUGCCUCUUAGCUGAAUACAUCAAAUCAAGAAAAGGGCACCCGUAAUCUGUACCCAAAGUCUAUACAAUGUCAUCAAAUAUGCUGCUUCUCUUGGUCUAUGUUGUAGCUGGAAUUCAGUUUUUCCUGAUGUUAACUGGCUUAAUAUCUGAACUUGUGGUGUUAGUGAAAUCCAUUUAUUGCCCACCUGAGAGAAUUCCCAAGCGCAUCCUCCUAGUUCUUUGUGCUCUAUGCAUUAUGAUCUAAAUUAUAAUAAUUCAUAUGCCAAAAACUACUGAUAGAGGAAAGAAAGCCACUGUGUGGAUUUUCUCUGUGUUUUUAGUUCACAUAUGGCUUGUGAUCUGGGUAAACUCAUUUCUACGAAUCUAUUCCAGGAAUGGCAAACAAACUUAACGCAGGGGAUAGUAGGACUAGGAGUUCUGUAUCGAUAUUUAUAGUAGCGGGUCUCUGCUGUUUCUUUUAUUUGCUUGGAGCAUGGCAGAGAAGUGGGUUUGGGAAGGGAGACAGUAUAGCUUUGGAGGUUACCAAGAAUGGUGCUGCCUGCAAUGUGAUUCCAAAUCUAAAUUUUGAGACCCAUCAUGGUGGUGGAGCUGGAAUGAUUGAAGAUUCUGAUUCAAAUGUGAAAGAGAUUAAGCCAUGCAAACCUCGCUACACUGAUUAUACUCCAUGCCAAGACCAAAACCGGGCUAUGAAGUUCCCAAGAGAAAAUAUGAACUAUAGGGAAAGGCACUGUCCUCCUCAAGAAGAGAAGUUGCACUGUCUUAUUCCUGCUCCCAAUGGGUAUGUGACCCCAUUUAGGUGGCCUAAGAGUCGUGACUAUGUUCCCUAUGCCAAUGCACCAUAUAAAAGCUUGACGGUUGAGAAGGCUAUUCAGAAUUGGAUUCAGUAUGAGGGAAGUGUAUUCAGGUUCCCUGGUGGGGGGACUCAGUUUCCUCAAGGGGCAGACAAAUAUAUCGAUCAACUUGCUUCUGUGAUACCUAUUGAGAACGGGACUGUUCGGACUGCUCUUGACACUGGUUGUGGGGUAUGUCAGUCAAAGUUCUACUUAACAAUUCUCUGAGUUGUUUUCCGACUCCUAGUAUCCUCAUAUACUCUGAAACAGGAAUGUACCUUUUCAAAUUUUGAUAAUUGUUCUAACAGUGAGUCUUUUAUUGGAUUUAGGUUGCAAGCUGGGGAGCAUAUCUUUGGAGGAGAAAAGUUAUCACUAUGUCAUUUGCACCAAGAGAUUCCCAUGAAGCCCAGGUUCAGUUUGCUUUGGAAAGGGGUGUACCUGCUGUUAUUGGUGUUCUUGGAACAAUAAAAAUGCCUUAUCCUUCUAGAGCCUUUGACAUGGCACAUUGUUCCCGUUGUCUGAUUCCAUGGGGAGCUAAUGGUGAGGAUUUAUGUAAUUGUUUUGUCUUUUUGUGUAGAAAGUUCAAUCUAAGUUUGAAAAAAUUUUCAACUUGAAAUAUUCUUCACUUGAAGCAGACUUUUAGCGUUUUCCUGCUUGCAUUUUUUCUUUGAUUAUCUCCUUUUAAAUCUGUCUUUUUUCAGGGUCAAAUAUCUUUACUAUUUCUGUUACUGGAUUUCAUUGAAGCAGUUUUUGACUGCAUAUCUGGUUUUUUACCUUGUAGAUGGCAUGUACAUGAAGGAAGUUGAUCGAGUUCUUAGACCUGGAGGAUAUUGGGUUCUUUCUGGUCCUCCCAUCAAUUGGAAGACCAACUACAAGGCAUGGCAGCGCUCCAAAGAGGAUCUUGAGGAAGAGCAGAGAAAGAUUGAAGAAAUUGCUAAACUUCUCUGCUGGGAGAAGAAGUCCGAGAAGGCUGAAAUUGCAAUAUGGCAGAAAAGAAUUGAUGCUGACUCUUGCCGGGCUGAACAAGAAAAUUCUGGUGCUACAUUUUGCAAAGCUUCAGACCCAGAUGAUGUUUGGUAUGCUUCUAUACUCAUCACAUAGAUAGUUUUUCUAAAGCAGCUAAGGAGGACAUAAGGGGAAAACAUUGAACUUGUGGAAGGCAAAGUGUCAUCUUUGUAUCCUCUGUAGUUAUGUGCUUUUGCCUCUUACUUCCUUUUAACCAAGAAAUAAUUGUAUGCUAUUAAGCUAGAAAAGCCAGCUUCCCCAAAACUUGUUAAUUCCAGGUGGUAAAAAGCCAAUAAUGAGGUGCCAUUCGUCCAUAUUGUGUGAACCAUUGGGUUAGCUCAACCUGUUAUGCCUGGAUUACUUUUGCCCGUUAAAAAUUCUCCUUUAGGUUGAGCUCUGGCGGAUCACUUAAUUGCACUAGUUCUUAAAUGCUUAUUGGAUGAAACAUGGGGAAAAUCAUGCAUUUAGUGUUCUCAAAAGAUAGCUCCCGCGCACUAGAUUUGAAAAUGAUAUCAUAUAGUGAGAAUUUAAUGAUUGGAAGUCCUAGCUUAAUUUUUUUUGGGGGGGGGGGGUGUUGCGGCAGAAGAAUUAUGAAGGUUCAGAAUGUGGUCCUGACACACAGUGUAUUAGUCAUAACUUUGCAGUUUAGAUGUACUAUCAUUUCCUGAUGAAUUGGAAAAUCUAUGAGAGCGUGAUUUUAUCCUGUAUGAUGACCAUUUUUUAGGGAAUCGUGUAAACUUGUAUUUUAUUUACCUUUGAUUUGUGUUGAAGCAAAUGGAACACCAAAUUGAUAGCAGAUGUAACCCGCUUUUAGGUAGGGGCUGAACCUGAGAAACUAUAUUUUGGUUCCAUUACCAAAAAAUAGUGCAUGAUGAAUGGCAAUACUGAUCGAUACAUUGGCUACUUGGAAUUUAAAUUCAGUUUGAAAAUCAGCUGAACAAUUUAUUACUUUUCAUAUGGAUAUUUAUACCAAGAAGUUGAUUCUGUUAAAUAAGAGAAUUCCUGUGUUCUAAAUGCUUUUUAAUCUUGAGAAGUUCUCCUUUGUCUUGCACAAGCCCCCCCCACCCCAGAAAAAAGGGAGGAACAUAUGUAGUUUUGUAUCCAAGGAUUCCUUGAGUUGGCCAUAUUCUGAACUUGUUUCCUCUUCUCUACUUAUCUUGUCAUUUUAAACUUUAAAGAUGCUUAAUCUUCUUAACAUUUGAGUUUGUUUGCUUUUGUUUGUACUCAAUUAAUACACAGGUACAAGAAAAUGGAGGAAUGUAUAACACCAUCUGAUGUUAAGGGUGAUGAAGCAUCUGGAGAAAGUAUCAAGCCUUUCCCUGAGAGGCUUUAUGCUAUUCCCCAAAGAAUUGCUAGUGGAUCAGUUCGUGGAGUCUCUGCUGAAUCAUACCAGGAGGACAGUAAGAAAUGGAAAAGGCAUGUAAAUGCUUAUAAGAGAAUCAAUAAAAUCCUUGAUUCUGGCAGGUAUCGUAAUAUUAUGGAUAUGAAUGCUGGAUUGGGUGGUUUUGCUGCAGCACUUGAAUCUCCCAAAUUGUGGGUUAUGAAUGUUGUGCCUACAAUUGCUGAGAAGAAUACACUGGGUGUUAUUUAUGAAAGAGGGUUAAUAGGCAUCUAUCAUGACUGGUAUUAUGCCUUUUCCUUUUGCUCAGCAAUAUUUAGGGAUUGACUGGUGUAGCAUAGCAAUCUGUCGGAAGUUUAACAAUGUUAUCCUCACUGCUAUAUUUCUGAUUCAGGUGUGAAGGCUUCUCCACAUACCCAAGAACGUAUGAUCUCAUUCAUGCUAACGGCCUUUUCAGCUUAUACAAGGACAAGUAAGCAUUGCUUUUUGGCUUUGUGUUAGGUCGAUGCUUGAUAGAUUGCUUUUUACACGCCUAAUGGCCUUCAGGAUUGCACUAUAAACUUAAUAUGUCUUUGAGAUGCUCAUUUACAAGGCUAUGUCCAAUUAGUGCUCAGAUUGUAAUUCUGCGACUCUGGGAAAUCUCCAUGUUGACUAUUCUUCAUAAUCACGUCUUAGUCAUCAUUUUCUGUUCUUUAUUAUUACUCAACCGCACUUAGGCUAUCAAUCAAAUUAAAUGAAGAACAGAAGUGCUACAUCUGCUCCUACUGUGUCCUGGGUUAGAAAGAUUUGUAUGUUUGUUAAAAAGUUGAUCCAGUCGUUUUUGAAUAGCCAUGUACUUUUAAAUCCUGCUAUUGAUUAACUCAAAAAUGCUUAAUUACAGCACCUGGAUCCUACUUUGGCUUCUCUUUUUCUUUUGUCGUUUCUUGUCACUGUUGUCAUCAUAAUACAGUAGUGUCAUUUGCUUUGUGAGGCUGUUGAAUGCCUACACAUAUGAUCUAGAAUUCAUAUUUAUCUGUGACCUACCCAAUCCAGGUGUGACUUUGAGGACGUCCUUUUGGAGAUGGACCGGAUCUUGAGGCCAGAAGGUGCUGUUAUAAUCCGGGAUGCAGUUGAUGUUCUAAACAAGGUGCAGAAAAUAGUUAGGGGAAUAAGGUGGGACUUCAAAUUGACAGAUCAUGAGGAUGGUCCCCUUGUCCCUGAGAAAAUCCUGAUUGCAGUAAAAAAGUAUUGGGUUGCCGGAGAAAAUAACUCCACUUCCACAGAGUGAAUCCUGCGAGGAGAUGCAUGACUCAAGAUGCGGCAAAAGCAGCACAGUAGAUCUUCAAAACUAUUUUCAAGCUACCCCUGGAUCAAGAAUCCAUUUUGCCAGGAGAGAUUUUUUUGGCUGGUAAGAGGUUAACCUUGGGGAUGGGGCUACUCUUUGUAUCAGUAUAUCUUUAAGCAGCAGUUGGAUGGAUGGGGAGUAGAAUGUUACUGUUAGUUCUCUCUUGUGUAACAUUUGCUUUAUUUAUUAUUCAUUUGCCCAAUUGGAUAAAUAUACUCUUUUUUAACUCAAGGUGACAACCAAAACCACGUAUGCGCCAUGUUUUCAGGCUUCUUAUUCCCAAGCACCAUUUCCUUUAUCUUGUGCUAGUUUUUGAGGCUUCUUUGCCUUCCUUUUUCUUGGUCCUCAGCCAGCCAAUUUUCAAUGACAAGAUUAUGUAACCAAAGGAAAACAAUUGAUUUUACACGAAAAAAGUUCUGAGGAAAUCCAAAGUACAACAGACUAGUUGUUUACUGCUUAUUAUUGAUACCGACAGAUAAAGUGAGAACGGGAUAGACAUCACCUUUCCAGUCUCAACUCUCAAUAGUAUUUUCUAGUUUCUACCCCGUAUCAAAUUUGGCAUAUUUGUGUGGGCAUCAGACAAGGGGACAGUACGAUACAUGUUUCCAGCGGGCAACUUCAAAGUUCCAUCCACUGAAGGGUAAAAUGACAAAUAAGUCAAGUCUAGAAAAAGUUACGUUUAGUCAGAAGAGUGAUCAAAACGGUUCCCAUAAACUAGUUCCUGCCACAUAUACAGUCGCAAGAGAACAAAGUUACGGCCUCUUGUACGAAUGAAGAGAGACAGAAACAAGUCUUGAAGGGACUAUAUGGUUUCAGUCUUCUGCCGACAAAAUAAAAAGAUGAUCAAGAAAUUCAGCAGAUCAAAUUUGCUUGACUAGCGGCACUAGAAAGUGGUGCUGAAUUCCAAUUUUGCCGUCAAACUAGCAUUCUCGUCUUGUCCCAAUUGUCGUACGUAAACCAAGUUUAGCUAACAAAACUUUUUGUGACAUUUGAAUUCUCGUCUUGAAUUAUAUGGAUUCGGUUAAUCUCAUGUCGAUAAAGAACAGAAGGGAUCCACGCUUGCAUAGCAGACCAACAAUGAACCCAUAAUGAGUUCAGCACAGGUGAAAUUGUAGCAGCCGUCCGACAAAUGGGAUGUAUUCGAACCCUGUACAUCUCUAUUAUUGAACAUACAAGCAAUACGGUCGUGCUUCGUUGUUGUUCAGAGGAUUUUGUGAAUCUUGUGUGGCCAAUAUUCCUCGAUGAACUAAUGCAAGAGGCAAACCAAAGAGGAAGAAAUUGGGGGGGGGGGGUAGUUUUUGUUGUUGUCACCUACUCUUGUGCCUGGUGGGGAUUUCAUCAUUCAAGUUCUGUGGGGCAGAAGAGAGCUAGAGCAUCUAUCCAAAUUCUAAGGCGUUUGUGACAUAUUCCUACCCCUCCAUAAAUGGUUUCAGCUCUCAAAUCUCCCAAACAAGAAGUUGCUUUUCGUUGCUGCAAGAGAUAAUCCAUUACAAGACAGAAACCCGUUUCUUUUAACUUACAGCUGUGGUGAUGAAGAGCGUCGCAUCUAGCAUUGAUUAGAUUUAAUUGUACCAAAUGAUUGAUCAAAUUGCUUGUCAUACACACUUCGGUAUAUUAACAAGAUUCUGAUGACUAUUUAAGACGAUUAGGAGGAGGUUUCGAAAUGUCUCCAUCUUGGGCCAACUCGAGGAUAUAGUAGUGUAUCCAAUGCUACAGGUAUAAAUUUCUAAAGCACAUCCAUUGCAGGACAUUACAAAAUUCAAUAUCGGUGAUAGGACCUCAUAUGAAACAUCGUAUCAGGGGAAUAUAUACUUUCCUAAUCUUUUGCAACUUGGAACACUCAUUCUGAUCAAUAAUGUAGUGUGGACUGCAAAAUGAGACAAGUAAUUUUCUAGAAUUUGAUUAAACAUUCGUAAGUUGCACGUAAAUAAGUUGAUUAAUGGUGAAACCUUAACCACCAAGUUUUAAGAUACCAAGUCAAGAUUAGACAGUGAAGCAUUUUAAAAUGUAGUAGUUGAUUAUUUUUAGGCACUGUAAUCUCAUGAAAGCAACAGAACCUAUGGUCUGCUCAAACCUUUACUAAAACUCUUUGAUUUCAUGAAUAUGUGAAUGUACCGGCAAGAAGUAGAUGCGAUUCUAGCAGGGGUUUGGGACUCUACUGACUGCUACUCCAGGGACAUUGAAUUUUGAGUUUCAACAGCCAAACAUUUGGGCUAAAAUACUACAGGUGAACGACCAUUUUUUCUUGGUCCACCUGUCUUGCAUUGUACUGAACUCGUUUUAGAAAGAUUUGUCGAGGACUUCGCCUUGACUAGUUUUAACAAUUCUGGGGAUGAAAUUACUGUUCCCUGCGAUGCUUUGGUGCAAGAUUUGCAAUAAUGUGAAUUCUCAAAUAAAUGACACUCUGAUUCAGAUCCAGGUUGAUUCUCUAAGUCACAAAUAUGGACUAGCAUUUCUUUCUUUCUUUGUCAAAGAAAUGGGCAAUUCGAAUGAUAGUCAACCCUAAUUUGGCGUCCAAAAGGAUCAGCAAAACAAUCCCUUAAAAAAAAACCAAAGAAAAAAAGAAGGCACGAUAAACUUUGUAGUGGUCAGUUAAAAGUUAAUAAUACAUAACAGCAACGUUAACAAAGUGUAGGUUGCAAACUGGCACUUCACUAACGCUCACUGUCACUGAAACAGUGAAAUGGCUGGCUAUAUGGACAUGAACCCAUAGUAAUCUUUCUGCCGAGUAGUCCUUUCGCUUAAUUUUUAUCCAAGUCUUCUCCUUUCUCAAGUGCAGUCUCUCUCCAAUCCCAAUAGUAUAUAACACCUAAUUCUUGUGCACAUUGGCACCGAACUUGCAUUAUUUGUAGUACUCCAAGCUUCUUCCGCAAAUUGAAACUGCUCCUGUCUUAUAAAAGCGAGAAAUUCCUGCAUACUUUUAAGACCUUUUUCUCGUGUAGUAGUAGUAGUUUCCAACUCCUGAAGUCUUCUUUCAAACUUUUUCUUGUAGUCCAGUGCUAAGGCACUUGUGUUCAGUUUUGAUUGAGCAUACAAAAUUCUUCUGCAGGGUUAUUUUCUCCUUUUAAAAAAAAAAAAAAAAACUGUUGACUCCUUGAUCACUCUUAUAGGCUUCAACUGAGGCAUAAUUUCGAUGGCUAUGCUCACAUUGGAUACUGCAUCAGAAACCAACAUCCCAAGAACUGUGCCUUUCAGGAAUAGCAGCAAUCUCCGUGAUGCCUCGUUUUCUUCUUACCUGAAUGGUUCUGAAGAAACUUCUGUGCAUCAACUUGCAGAUUCCAGUAAAAGCUGCGAGCCCCUCAUCUCCACCCCACUUGAUCAUCUUCACCUUGUAAGCAAGAAGGCUGAAGAUACUGAAAUCGAUAUAUUUAGUGCUGAUAAGUAUUUCAAUGAAGGAGUUGAAGAGGAAACUCCCCGAAUUGCCGACAAAUACUCUCCAAAGCUCGAUCAAAAGAUGGACCCUCCACCUGAAUUGGAUCCACUAAAACAACAGACUGGGUCAGGAACUCCAAGUAUUCGCUCUGAAUCAAGCUGGAACAGCCAAAAUGCAUUGCUGCAAAAUAUUCCCCGGAAUCAGCUGCCACGGAAAACAAACAAGGCUAAUCGCAGGAGCUUCCUCGCUAAUAUUGCUUGCAAUUGUUCUUGUAGUGACAAGAACUCUGUUGAUAUUGAUAUUCCACUCGGUGAAAAUAAUUGCAAUAUGAGUGCUAAUGGCAAGCAAGCUUAUGGCAAAGCAGGAAAGCCAACAAAAGCUGUUGGUUUGGUUAGCCUUAGCGAGUCUCAAUCUAGCACAUUAAUCAGGGAAGAUUCACCCUGCAGAAAGUUUGACCAACUAGGAAUUGGAUUGAGCACAAACGGUCAUUUUAGGUUCCCAGCAUCUCAUCCCACAACUGAGGAUAAUCCACUAGAAAUGCAGCGAAAAAAGGAAGAAGAUGAUACUAGGCGGAUAUCAUUAGAAGUGUUUGGCUCCCCAACUGAGAGAAAAGGGAAGAAGUCCUCAAGCCUUGAAAGAAGCCUGAACAUGUUAACUUGGGAUGCAAUUGUUCCAAAGGUGGACGAAAGUGAAGUUCAAGCCAGCUCCAGAGGGAUGUACAAUGACACAGACAGCGAUGCAAGUUCAGAUUUAUUUGAGAUAGAAAGCUUCUCCACCAAUCCCAGCCAAUAUCUUACCAGGCAAGCUUCAAACAACUCAAUGACACGGACAACUUGUUAUGCUCCAAGUGAAGCAAGUAUAGAGUGGAGUGUUGCAACAGCUAGUGCAGCAGAUUUCUCUGUGAUGUCAGACACAGAAGAGCUGAGAUCAACUACAACAAAAGCUAAUCCUCGUGGUAAUGGUAUGGCUCUAAAUGGGAGAUCUACACCGGUCAGAGAAAUGCCGAAAAGGCGUUCAGGUAUUCUUUCAGGAUGUUACAGUCAAAAAGCUGUUAGAGUUGCAGGAGACGUAUACAGAACAGGUGAAAACACAUGCCCCGGCAGGCACCAGAAAACAGAGUUCCUGAUGCCAAUGACAAGGUUUCAUGCUGAAAAUGAGGUUGCCAGGUUUGACAAAAGAAAUGAUCAUUUUGGCCAGGACACACGUUUGUUCACUUGCUCACAGUCUAGACGUCCUACAGAGUUACUGUAUAAGCAUUGAUCUCAUGGAAGUUCUGUAACAUUUAUUACUUUUUAUCUCCUAUUUUUUUUUAAAGAAUUCUCAUGUUUCAAGUGUUCAUUUAGUCAUAACUAUAGUAACUCUACUAGCAUGCCAAUCCAUAUCUACCCAUAUGUUAUGCAAAGUUUGCCCUGCCAAAGCAUUGAUCUCAUUUGGGUGGGAUUUAGCCCCAGAUUUCACCUUCGUGUUUGCUGUUCAACAUCACAGACCAGGAUGUUGUUAUAUGUUGACAUUUUGGAUUUGUACAUUUGCAUUAUUAUGGAUAGCUUUAAGCACUAGGACAUUCAAGACUUUCAAGGUAUCGCUUAUGAUGAAGCAUCCUGAUUCUGUUGAAGCAUGCUAGCAGCACGAUGUUAAAAAUUGCAAUUUUGCCGUGAAGGACCACACCAAUAGACUUCAGAUGGUUUUAACUGUGAACUCACCACCAACAACGCGAAAGAACAUGCACAUAAGGAAUGAAAGUUCCUUAAACAUGUGAUCAAUAAAUUAUGCAGUACGAACUGAGCAACCCAUGUGAUCAAUAAAUUUUGUUCAAUGCUGUGUUACAAUGAAGAGAGCAAUGAAAGAUUGUUCAUCUUGAAGAUAGGAAUGAAUCCCGUAACUUCAUAUUGACAGACGGCACAACUUCCUUAGCAAUCAAGGAAUGUCGUCCAAGGUGACACGCAGAGCUCGAGAGAGGCACAACCUCUAACGAGAACGUUCCCAACCAGUAGCACAAGACGCGACGACUCUCUGGCUGCAAGUCAUCGAAUCAAUUCAUCCACAUGAUAGAAACAACAUAGCCGAAAUUUUUGCUUAGAGCAUUGACAGGAAUAAGUUCUCCUUGGUGUUCAAAUUUGAUAAAAUUAAAGAAUACUAUCGUAUAAAUGGAAGAAAAGGAAAAGGAACAGAAAUAUUCCCAACAAAACAACCAAAAUCCCAUCUCAAUUGAUGCAUGAAUAGGACGUGAAUUCACGUCUGAUUAAAAAAGGAAAAAAAAAAAAAAAACAAGGGCUACUGCAACUCUAGUUGAGAGAUCAAAUCAGCUGAAAAAUUGUGGGCAAUCUCAAGGUGUGCUUUUCCUUUGGAGCACCAAAAGUAGAACAGCAGAGCUUAGAAAGGAACAAAUUAGAGCAUGAAGCUGGAAGGAAGCCAUGUGAGGAUGGGGUCAUGAAAUGAUAAGACGUCAGAGUUAGAUUAAAAAAAAAAAACCUAUAAAUGUGAUGUAAAAGAAUACUGCUUUGUGCAGCUGAAAUUUAAAGCUAAAAUGAAAUACCAAAAUUUGAUAACAUCCCAACCGCUAGGAUUAUUUCCCCAC
rnacentral:lncRNA from 1 species